UUGACCUCGGAUCAGGUAGGAAUACCCGCUGAACUUAAGCAUAUCAAUAAGCGGAGGAAAAGAAACCAACAGGGAUUGCCUCAGUAACGGCGAGUGAAGCGGCAACAGCUCAAAUUUGAAAUCUGGCCUCUUUGGGGUCCGAGUUGUAAUUUGGAGAGGAUGUUUCGGGCACGGUCCGGGCUUAAAUUUCUUGGAACAGAAUGUCACAGAGGGUGAGAAUCCCGUCUGGAGUCCGCGACACGACCUAUGUGAAACUCCUUCGACGAGUCGAGUUGUUUGGGAAUGCAGCUCUAAAUGGGUGGUAAAUUUCAUCUAAAGCUAAAUAUUGGCCAGAGACCGAUAGCGCACAAGUAGAGUGAUCGAAAGAUGAAAAGCACUUUGAAAAGAGAGUUAAACAGUACGUGAAAUUGUUGAAAGGGAAGCGCAGGCAACCAGACUUGCGCGUCGGGGUUCCCCCUUGCUUCUGCCUGGGUUACUCCCCGGCGUUCAGGCCAACAUCGGUUUCGGGGGUUGGUUAAAGACCCUGGGAAUGUAUCUACCCUGCGGGGUAGACUUAUAGCCCAGGGUGUCAUGCGACCUCCCGGGACCGAGGAACGCGCUUCGGCUCGGAUGUUGGCGUAAUGGUUGUCUGCGGCCCGUCUUGAAACACGGACCAAGGAGUCUAACAUCUAUGCGAGUGUUAGGGUGUCAAACCCUUACGCGGAAUGAAAGUGAACGGAGGUAGGAAGCCUUAAGGCUGCACUAUCGACCGAUCCUGAAGUUUACGGAUGGAUUUGAGUAAGAGCAUAGCUGUUGGGACCCGAAAGAUGGUGAACUAUGCCUGAAUAGGGUGAAGCCAGAGGAAACUCUGGUGGAGGCUCGCAGCGGUUCUGACGUGCAAAUCGAUCGUCAAAUUUGGGUAUAGGGGCGAAAGACUAAUCGAACCAUCUGGUAGCUGGUUCCUGCCGAAGUUUCCCUCAGGAUAGCAGUAACGUUUUCAGUUUUAUGAGGUAAAGCGAAUGAUUAGAGGCCUUGGGGUUGAAACAACCUUAACCUAUUCUCAAACUUUAAAUAUGUAAGAAGUCCUUGUCACUUAAUUGGACGUGGACAUUUGAAUGUAUCGUUACUAGUGGGCCAUUUUUGGUAAGCAGAACUGGCGAUGCGGGAUGAACCGAACGAGAGGUUAAGGUGCCGGAGUGCACGCUCAUCAGACACCA
rnacentral:rRNA from 1 species